rnacentral:rRNA from 1 species
AUAUCAAUAAGCGGAGGAAAAGAAACCAACAGGGAUUGCCCCAGUAACGGCGAGUGAAGCGGCAACAGCUCAAAUUUGAAAUCUGGCCCCCCGGGUCCGAGUUGUAAUUUGUAGAGGAUGCUUUUGGUGAGGUGCCGCCCGAGUUCCCUGGAACGGGACGCCACAGAGGGUGAGAGCCCCGUCUGGCUGGCCACCGAGCCUCUGUAAAGCUCCUUCGACGAGUCGAGUAGUUUGGGAAUGCUGCUCAAAAUGGGAGGUAUAUGUCUUCUAAAGCUAAAUAUUGGCCAGAGACCGAUAGCGCACAAGUAGAGUGAUCGAAAGAUGAAAAGCACCUUGAAAAGAGGGUUAAAUAGUACGUGAAAUUGUUGAAAGGGAAGCGCUUGUGACCAGACUUGGGCGCGGCGGAUCAUCCGGGGUUCUCCCCGGUGCACUUCGCCGCGUUCAGGCCAGCAUCAGUUCGUCGCGGGGGAUAAAGGCUUCGGGAACGUGGCUCCUCCGGGAGUGUUAUAGCCCGUUGCAUAAUACCCUGCGGUGGACUGAGGACCGCGCAUCUGCAAGGAUGCUGGCGUAAUGGUCACCAGCGACCCGUCUUGAAACACGGACCAAGGAGUCGUCUUCGUAUGCGAGUGUUCGGGUGUCAAACCCCUACGCGUAAUGAAAGUGAACGCAGGUGAGAGCUUCGGCGCAUCAUCGACCGAUCCUGAUGUUCUCGGACGGAUUUGAGUAAGAGCAUACGGGGCCGGACCCGAAAGAAGGUGAACUAUGCCUGUAUAGGGUGAAGCCAGAGGAAACUCUGGUGGAGGCUCGCAGCGGUUCUGACGUGCAAAUCGAUCGUCAAAUAUGGGCAUGGGGGCGAAAGACUAAUCGAACCUUCUAGUAGCUGGUUUCCGC